UCGUUAAACCGAGGCGCGAGGGCUGUCGCUGACCUUCCCCGGUCGUGCACGCCCGAGCCCUCUCACAAUCCAUCUCACCCUUUGUGCAUCACCGCGUGGGUCCUCCUUUGCCGGAGGGCCCGCGUCUUUACACAAAACUCGAUACAGUGUAGAAUGUUUAUUUUCGCGCUCGCACGCGAUCAAUAAUA
rnacentral:misc_RNA from 1 species